rnacentral:rRNA from 1 species
CCUACGGGAGACAGCAGUGGGGAAUAUUGGGCAAUGGGCGCAAGCCUGACCCAGCAACGCCGCGUGAAGGAAGAAGGCUUUCGGGUUGUAAACUUCUUUUCUGAGGGACGAAGAAAGUGACGGUACCUCAGGAAUAAGCCACGGCUAACUACGUGCCAGCAGCCGCGGUAAUACGUAGGUGGCAAGCGUUAUCCGGAUUUAUUGGGUGUAAAGGGCGUGUAGGCGGGAAAGCAAGUCAGAUGUGAAAACUCAGGGCUCAACCCUGAGCCUGCAUUUGAAACUGUUUUUCUUGAGUGCUGGAGAGGCAAGCGGAAUGCCUAGUGUAGCGGUGAAAUGCGUAGAUAUUAGGAAGAACACCAGUGGCGAAGGCGGCUUGCUGGACAGUAACUGACGUUGAGGCUCGAAAGCGUGGGGAGCGAACAGGAUUAGAUACCCCUGUAGUC